UACGGAGGGUGCGAGCGUUAAUCGGAAUUACUGGGCGUAAAGCGCGCGUCUGUGGUUUGGUAAGUCGGAUGUGAAAGCCCCGGGCUUAACCUGGGAACGGCAUUCGAUACUGCCUGACUAGAGUAUGGUAGAGGAAAGCGGAAUUCCCGGUGUAGCGGUGAAAUGCGUAGAUAUCGGGAGGAACAUCAGUGGCGAAGGCGGCUUUCUGGACCAAUACUGACACUGAGGCGCGAAAGCGUGGGUAGCAAACAUG
rnacentral:rRNA from 1 species